rnacentral:rRNA from 1 species
UGACUGAGCGGCGGACGGGUGAGUAACGCGUGGGUAACCUGCCUCAUACAGGGGGAUAACAGUUGGAAACGGCUGCUAAUACCGCAUAAGCGCACAGUACCGCAUGGUACGGUGUGAAAAACUCCGGUGGUAUGAGAUGGACCCGCGUCUGAUUAGGUAGUUGGUGGGGUAACGGCCUACCAAGCCGACGAUCAGUAGCCGACCUGAGAGGGUGACCGGCCACAUUGGGACUGAGACACGGCCCAAACUCCUACGGGAGGCAGCAGUGGGGAAUAUUGCACAAUGGGGGAAACCCUGAUGCAGCGACGCCGCGUGAGCGAUGAAGUAUUUCGGUAUGUAAAGCUCUAUCAGCAGGGAAGAAAAUGACGGUACCUGACUAAGAAGCCCCGGCUAACUACGUGCCAGCAGCCGCGGUAAUACGUAGGGGGCAAGCGUUAUCCGGAUUUACUGGGUGUAAAGGGAGCGUAGACGGCAUGGCAAGCCAGAUGUGAAAGCCCGGGGCUCAACCCCGGGACUGCAUUUGGAACUGUCAGGCUAGAGUGUCGGAGAGGAAAGCGGAAUUCCUAGUGUAGCGGUGAAAUGCGUAGAUAUUAGGAGGAACACCAGUGGCGAAGGCGGCUUUCUGGACGGUGACUGACGUUGAGGCUCGAAAGCGUGGGGAGCAAACAGGAUUAGAUACCCUGGUAGUCCACGCCGUAAACGACGAAUAAGAGGUGUCGGGUGGCAAAGCCAUUCGGUGCCGCAGCAAAACGCAAUAAGUAUUCCACCUCGGGAGUACGUUCGCAAGAAUGAAACUCAAAGGAAUUGACGGGGACCCGCCCAAGCGGUGGAGCAUGUGGUUUAAUUUGAAGCAACGCGAAGAACCUUACCUGGUCUUGACAUCCCUCUGACCGCUCUUUAAUCGGAGCUUUCCUUCGGGACAGAGGAGACAGGUGGUGCAUGGUUGUCGUCAGCUCGUGUCGUGAGAUGUUGGGUUAAGUCCCGCAACGAGCGCAACCCCUAUCUUUAGUAGCCAGCAUUUCGGAUGGGCACUCUAGAGAGACUGCCAGGGAUAACCUGGAGGAAGGUGGGGAGGACGUCAAAUCAUCAUGCCCCUUAUGACCAGGGCUACACACGUGCUACAAUGGCGUAAACAAAGGGAAGCGAGCCCGCGAGGGGGAGCAAAUCCCAAAAAUAACGUCUCAGUUCGGAUUGUAGUCUGCAACUCGACUACAUGAAGCUGGAAUCGCUAGUAAUCGCGAAUCAGAAUGUCGCGGUGAAAAAGGUCCCGGGUCUUGC